rnacentral:misc_RNA from 1 species
GAAGAAGAAGAAGACGAAGAAGAAAGAUCUCAGGCAAAUGGACAUUUAUCUUUUAUUAUUGCACUUAAAUUUUUUAUGUACACCAACAGUUACAGUAGAAAAUUCGUAUUGUUUUUUGGUGAUUGAUGAUAUGCAUACGAAUCUUGAUGGUCACAUAUUGCUCCAAAUUUGCACUGUAAACGUAUCCAUUUACCUUGUUGUAUAUGAAACAUUGUUGAGGUGCAAAAUGAUAUUCCUGUUUCAAAAUUGAAUUCUUUAAAUUAGGAUAAUCAAAACAAUAAUAUACUUUGGG